UCCUGGCUCAGAACGAACGCUGGCGGCGUGUUUAAGACAUGCAAGUCGUACGGGGGACUUUGAUAGCUUGCUAGAGAAGUUCCUAGUGGCGCACGGGUGAGUAACACGUGAGUGACAUGCCCUGCAGUGGGGGAUAGCCCGCCGAAAGGCGGAUUAAUACCCCAUGGUUUCCGCAAGGAUAAAGGUGGCUUUUAGCUGCCGCUGCAGGAUUGGCUCGCGUCCUAUCAGCUUGUUGGUGAGGUAACGGCUCACCAAGGCGACGACGGGUACCUGGUUUGAGAGGAUGAUCAGGCACACUGGAACUGAGACACGGUCCAGACACCUACGGGUGGCAGCAGUCGAGAAUAAUUCACAAUGGGGGAAACCCUGAUGGUGCAACGCCGCGUGGAGGAUGAAGGUCUUCGGAUUGUAAACUCCUGUCAUUUGAGAGCAAGACCUGGCGGUGAAUAGCCGACAGGGUUGAUAGUAUCGAAAGAGGAAGGGACGGCUAACUUCGUGCCAGCAGCCGCGGUAAUACGAAGGUCCCGAGCGUUGUUCGGAAUCACUGGGCGUAAAGGGAGCGUAGGCGGCAAGGUAAGUCAGGUGUGAAAUCCCGGGGCUCAACCCCGGAACUGCACCCGAUACUGCUUUGCUAGAGUAAUGGAGGGGUAGCUGGAAUUCUCGGUGUAGCAGUGAAAUGCGUGGAUAUCGAGAGGAACACUUAUGGCGAAGGCAAGCUACUGGACAUUUACUGACGCUGAGGCUCGAAGGCCAGGGGAGCGAAAGGGAUUAGAUACCCCUGUAGUCCUGGCAGUAAACGGUGUGCGCUUGGUGUGAGGGGUUUCGACCCCCCUUGUGCCGGAGCUAACGCGUUAAGCGCACCGCCUGGGGAGUAC
rnacentral:rRNA from 1 species